GACGAACGCUGGCGGCGUGCUUAACACAUGCAAGUCGAACGAAGUGGCGAACGGGUGAGUAACGCGUAAUCCACCUGCCCUUCAGCGGGGGACAACAGUUGGAAACGACUGCUAAUACCUCAUACUGAAGGAGGUGAUUGCGUCUGAUUAGCUAGUUGGAGGGGUAACGGCCGACCAAGGCGAUGAUCAGUAGCCGGUCGGAGAGGAGGAACGGCCACAGUGGGACUGAGACAAGGACCAGAAUCCUACGGGAGGCAGCAGGGGGGAAUCUUCCGCAAUGGACGAAAGUCUGACGGAGCAACGCCGCGUGAGUGAGGACGGCCUUCGGGGUGUAAAGCUCUGUUAAUCGGGACGCGGUACCGGAAUAGAAAGCCACGGCUAACUACGUGCCAGCAGCCGCGGUAAUAC
rnacentral:rRNA from 1 species